rnacentral:rRNA from 1 species
GCCAGAAGACUCGGUAAGGCCAGAGACGCAAACGUUAGUCGUCCUAAACAGGCGUAAAGGGUGUGUAGGCUGCUUUAAAAGUUUUAUUUUUAAAUAGCUCUGUAACCGUAGUAAUACAAAAUAAAAUUCUCUAAACUAAUUAAAUUUGUAUUACCUAAAAUUUAAAAUAUCCCGAGGGAUACAAAUAAAUGAUAUUUAAAUAAUGUUUGUUUAAUAAACAAAAAAAAUAUCCGUGUAUUCAGUAAAAACUAAGAUUAAUUAAAGCUAGAAUCAAAUAGAGGAUAAACCAAAUAAUACUUAGAGUAGGGCUUAUAUCCUAAGAUACUAAGGGGAAUACUAAAGGUGAAAGCUUUUUAUCUAUUAUUGAUUGACGCUGAGAAACGAAGGUGAGAAUAGGAAAUAGGAUUAGAUACCCAGAUACCUCUCACUGUCAACGAUGAAUGGUGGUUGUUAGUUUUAAUAAAAACUGGUAACGAUGUUAACACGAUAACCAUUCCGCCUUGCGAGUACGGUUGCAAAACUGAAACCAAAAAAAUUAGUCGGUCUCGAAGCAAACGAAGUGAAGCAUGUUAUUUAAUU